rnacentral:lncRNA from 1 species
UUGCUAUUUCUUUGGGCCGCUCCCGUGGCAUAUGGAGGUUCCCAGGCUAGGGGUUGAAUCGGAGCUGUAGCCACCAGCCUACGCCAGAGACACAGCAACGUGGGAUCCGAGCCGCGUCUGCAACCUACAUACACCACAGCUCACGGCAGUGCCGGAUCGUUAACCCACUGAGCAAGGGCAGGGACCGAACCCGCAACCUCAUGGUUCCUAGUCGGAUUCGUUAACCGCUGCGCCACGACGGGAACUCCUCUGUUUUAUUUUUGAUAACUGCAUGUGAAUUUGUAAUUACCUCAAUAAAAAUCUCCAAGAAGUUCUUUAUUCCCGCUAACUUGAGAUUCCAACUUUUUAAUGUAUUAAAGAUAAAAAAACAGGGAGGUUUUGAAAGGAUGAAAAUGCAACCUAACCCUCCCAGAACCCAGGAAGUUAAUAAAAAGCUCUAAAUGCCCCCGAAUUCCAGACCCUGCUGGCUGCCAGUAAAUAGGUAGAAGGUCACACUUCCUAUUGUUCCAGGGCCUGCUAUCCUGGCCUAAGUAAGAUAACAGGAAAUGAGUUGACUAAUCGCUUAUCUGGAUUCUGUAAAACUGACUGGCACCAUAGAAGAAUUGAUUACACAUUGAAAGCCCUAGUGACCUAUCUUAACUACAAUCUGUCACUCUGCCCAGGAGCCCGCGCAAAUGCGGACCUCCGGAGCUAUUUUAAAAUGGUUGGUCCACGGAGCGCGGGCUCUCGAUAUUUUAAAAUGAUUGGUCCACGGAGUGCGGGCUCUCGAUAUUUUAAAAUGAUUGGUUUGCGACGCACAGGCUUUGUUGUGAACCCCAUAAAAGCUGUCCCGAUUCCGCACUCGGGGCCGCAGUCUUCUACCCCUGCGUGGCGUACGACUGUGGGCCCCAGCGCGCUUGGAAUAAAAAUCCUCUUGCUGUUUGCAUCAAGACCGCUUCUCGUGAGUGAUUUGGGGUGUCGCCUCUUCCGAGCCCGGACGAGGGGGAUUGUUCUUUUACUGGCCUUUCAGUAUUAAGACAAGCUUGGGAGUUCCUGCUGUGGCACAGCAGGUUAAGGACCUGACAUUGUCUCUGUGAGGAUGAGGGUUUGAUCCCUGGCCUUGCUCAGCGGGUUAAGGAUCCAGUGUUGACACAAGUUGCACCACAGGUGACAGGGGCAACUCAGAUGCUGUGUUGUUGUGGCUUUGGCGUAGGCCUCAGCUACAGCUCUGAUUUGACCCCCAGCCCAGGAAUUUCCAUAUGCAGUUGCAGGUAGCUGUAAAAAAAAAAAGACAAGGUUGGCAAAAGAGAUAAACUAUAUUUACCUAGUCCAGCAUUUGUUUUGUGGAUUUCAGGAAGUGUGUUCUGCCUUUUGAAAAUUUGAUAUUUGAGAAAAUGAUAUGAAAUCUAGAAAUUUAGGGCUAUUGUUUUAUACUGCAGAGAUCAUUUUCAAACAUUAAAAUUUGACAUUUUUAUUGAGAUAUAAUGUUAUGUUAGUUUCAGGUGUAUAACACAAGAUUCAAUAUUUGUAUAAUUUGUGAAAUAAUCACCACAAUAAGCCUAGUAAACACCUAUCACCACUCUAGUUACAAAAAAUUUUGGGGAGGAGUUCCCACUGGGAUUCAGCAGUAACGAAACUGACUAGUAUCCAUGAGGAUGCAGGUCCAAUCCCUGGCAUGGCUCAGUGGGUGAAGGAUCUGGUGUUGGGGCGAGCUGUGGUGUAGGUCGCAGAUGCAGCUCAGAUGUGAUGUUGCUGUGGCUGUGGUGUAGGCCAACAGCUGCAGCUCUGAUUUGGCCUCUAGCCUGGCAACUAUGCUCAACCACGGAUCUGUUCUCUGUAUGAAAUUUAUUUAUUUUUUAUUUUUGUCUUUUUGCCUUUUCUAGGGCCGGUCUCUUGGCAUAUGGAGAUUCCCAGGCUAGGGGUCCAAUCAGAGCUGUAGCCACCGGCCUACACCAGAGCCACAGCAACAUGGGAUCCGAGCCACGUCUGCGACCUACACCACAGCUCAGGGCAACAUCGGAUCGUUAACCCACUGAGCAAGGGCAGGGACUGAACCCGCAACCUCAUGGUUCCUAGUCGGAUUUGUUAGCCACUGCGCCACAAUGGGAACUCCUAUUUAUGUUUUAAAAUAAAGGUUCUCAUGAAAUGUUGGAGGUCUUGUCCACAGGUAAAGACGCUACUUAGAAUUCGGAAAUUUGCUUUGGAAUUUUAAUGGUGUUUUAUAGACACAAAAGCCUUGCUAACUUGAGUGAGUAAAUAAGUGAAUUCGCUAGCUAGGCUUUGGAAAACCUCUUGGAAAUCAAACUGUUUGAUGGCUUUAUCUUUCAUCAUUGGGAGGUCAAGACUGGUUUAUUCUUUAAUAGCAAAAGCCCGUCAUUUAUGACCAGUUUCCUUCUCCUGCCAAAUGUACCCUUGAACCCUGUUGUGAGAGUUGCUUGCCAACCCUAAGCAUCUGUUUCCUCGAGGCUUGAUUUUUGUCCUGGGGUCACCUUCUCAUGAGUGCAGGAUAGGUCACAGGCUCUAUGGACCCCAGGGAGUGAAUUAUGACUGGUUUAAGGCAAUCACAAUGGAUUUAUUCCCUCUGCAGGUAUUGAGUUAGGAAUAAGUACGUGACUAAAUCCAGCUAACAGGACCUGAUGAGAAGUCCUGGGGGGGAGCUUAUGGUAAUUUCCUCACUCAGAACAAUUAAGACACAGAGGGAAACUUCUCUCCUCUUCACUACAUAUUGCUGUGUUUAGAGCUGUCAUCCGAUGCUGCUGCAGCCAUGUUCUGACCAUAACAGGAGUCACGUGAUGGAUGGAAGAUGGUAAAACUGAGCUACAGAAAGUACCACAGGCUUUGCUGAUAUUGUUUAUUCCUGAAUUAAACCCUGCAUUGCUCUGUCACAAGGUUUCUUAUUGUUUGAGUUACAACAAAUUGGAUGUUCUAUGACGUGCAUCCAAAGCAUUCUAACAAAUACACCCAAUGCUUACUGAAAACCAAACACAUUUUGAAAAACAUGUUCAAUAAUAAAUAGGAUAACCACAGUCCACAGGCCUUCCCUUACUCUUCCCACACUUGUGUGAGUUUCUCCAAGAAUAGGAUUAUACACAGCAGCCUUGUGGACAAUGAAGGUCUUUGAAUUACAUUUCACUCUGUCCCUACCGUGAGGUGGGCGGAUACAGCUGAACACUGAUGUGACAGGUCAGCCCCUGGCUUUAGCCAGAGUUGCAGGGUUAAGAACGCAUAUGAAUAAAGAAGAUGCAAUAUAUAUUAUAUAGUAUAUAUGUAUAAUGGAGUAUGACAGUCAUAAAAAGAAUAAAAUUUUGUCAUCUGCAGGAACAGAAAUGAUCAUACUAAGUGAAGUCAGUCUGACAGAGAAAGA